UACGUAGGGUGCGAGCGUUAAUCGGAAUUACUGGGCGUAAAGCGUGCGCAGGCGGUUCGUUGUGUCGGUGGUGAAAUCCCCGGGCUUAACCUGGGAAUGGCCAUGGAAACUGGCGAACUGGAGUGCGGCAGAGGGGGGUGGAAUUCCGCGUGUAGCAGUGAAAUGCGUAGAGAUGUGGAGGAACACCAGUGGCGAAGGCGGCUCUCUGGUCUGUAACUGACGCUGAGGCGCGAAAGCGUGGGGAGCGAACAGG
rnacentral:rRNA from 1 species